rnacentral:rRNA from 1 species
GAUGAACGCUGGCGGCGUGCCUAACACAUGCAAGUCGAACGAAGAUGCGUGUUUGAUCCCUUCGGGGUGACGAUGCGCAGACUUAGUGGCGGACGGGUGAGUAAUGUAUGAGCAACCUGUCUUCAAGAGGGGAAUAACAGUCGGAAACGACUGCUAAUACCGCAUAACAAGGCGUGAUCGCAUGAUCGUGUUUUCAAAGGAGCAAUCCGCUUGAAGAUGGGCUCAUAUCUGAUUAGAUAGUUGGUGAGGUAACGGCUCACCAAGUCUGCGAUCAGUAGCCGGACUGAGAGGUUGAACGGGCCACAUUGGAACUGAGAUACGGUCCAGACUCCUACGGGAGCAGC